rnacentral:rRNA from 1 species
CCUACGGGUGGCAGCAGUGGGGAAUAUUGGGCAAUGGGCGCAAGCCUGACCCAGCAACGCCGCGUGAAGGAAGAAGGCUUUCGGGUUGUAAACUUCUUUUGACAGGGAAGAGUAGAAGACGGUACCUGUCGAAUAAGCCACGGCUAACUACGUGCCAGCAGCCGCGGUAAUACGUAGGUGGCAAGCGUUGUCCGGAAUUACUGGGCGUAAAGCGCUCGUAGGCGGUAUGUCAAGUCAAGGGUGAAAUCCCCGCGCUCAACGUGGGAACUGCCUUUGAAACUGGCAAACUGGAGGGUGUGAGAGGAUAGUGGAAUUCCAGGUGUAGGAGUGAAAUGCGUAGAUAUCUGGAGGAACAGCAGUGGCGAAGGCGACUAUCUGGCACAUAACUGACGCUGAGGAGCGAAAGCGUGGGUAGCAAACAGGAUUAGAUACCCGAGUAGUC